rnacentral:rRNA from 1 species
GAUGAACGCUGGCGGCGUGCCUAAUACAUGCAAGUCGAGCGAACAGAUGAGGAGCUUGCUCCUCUGACGUUAGCGGCGGACGGGUGAGUAACACGUGGAUAACCUACCUAUAAGACUGGGAUAACUUCGUGAAACCGGAGCUAAUACCGGAUAAUAUAUUGAACCGCAUGGUUCAAUAGUGAAAGACGGUUUUGCUGUCACUUAUAGAUGGUUCCGCGCCGCAUUAGCUAGUUGGUAAGGUAACGGCUUACCAAGGCAACGAUGCGUAGCCGACCUGAGAGGGUGAACAGCCACACUGGAACUGAGACACGGUCCAGACUCCUACGGGAGGCAGCAGUAGGGAAUCUUCCGCAAUGGGCGAAAGCCUUACGGAGCAACGCCGCGUGAGUGAUGAAGGUCUUCCGAUCGUAAAACUCUGUUAUUAGGGAAGAACAAAUGUAUAAGUAACUAUGCACGUCUUGACGGUACCUAAUCAGAAAGCCACGGCUAACUACAUG